rnacentral:sRNA from 1 species
GAUCCUUGAGCAGUCACACCUUGAGCCACGGAACCAGUGCCUGCAGUGCCUCCACCACGUCCUCCCUGAGUCACAGAUAUCUGAGAGACGG